rnacentral:lncRNA from 1 species
UUACGAGGAUGUCUAAGACAUGGGAACUAGGACGAUUGUUUUCAAUAUUAUGCUUCUUUAAAAGGCUGUUUUAGCUGUUUAAGCAAUCCAGGCAAAGAUAAGGUGCUGAGUUCUAUGAAGAGAACACAGAGAGAUUAAUUCCAGAGAUACGUCAGGGGUGAGGACGACCUCACCUAACAGGUGACUGUCAUGCCUGUGAGAAAAUACCUUUUCCAAAUGGUGCCGUCCACUUCUAUCUCUCCACGGAAGGAUGGUGAAGUCUUCCACCUGGAGCUCCUGAGAGAACAGUGGGCUUAGUGGAAACACCACACACCUGGCUGGGUGUUUUCAGGUGGAGACGCUGAGGGCUGUUUCUUUCCAGUCCUGGAAGACGCGGAAUUUCUUCUCGGCAGCUUUGCUCGGCCUGCGUCUGAGCGAUGAGGAAACUGAGACACAAAAAUGGGGGAUGACUUGCCCAGGAAGCUGGACCACAUCACACAACGUUACUAUUGUAAUACCUUUAUCAAGAGUACCUCACAUGGCAACAAUGGGAGAAAAAUCAUACAGCUGGCUGCGUCAGGGAGAAAAGGAAGGGUGCCCCGGAGGCCACGGGAGACCAAGACAAUCCCUCUGUGGCUCAGAGUCUGAAUCCUUGUAUCAAGGUUGCUUCUGAGGGCCCCGAACAAGACAAGCACCAGCACUCCAAAGGACUGGCAGAGCUCAACUCCAAAGUCAUAAGAGGACGGCAGCGAUGGACUACCAGGUCUAGGAAAGGCCCCAGAGAUUUGCUUGAAGAACACAUUUCAGGUAGACAGAGUCCUUGGUUAAUUCCUGGCCCUUUCAAAAACUCAAUGACCCUGUACUUUUCGAAGCUGAGGUGGGAGGAUUGUUCGAAGUCAGGAGUUCAGGACCAGCCUGGGCAACAUACUGAGACCCCAUCUCUACAAAAAAUUUAAAAAAUAGCUGGGCAUGAAGGUAUGCGGCUGUAGUCCUAGCUACUUAGGAAGCUGAGGUGGGAGGAUUGCUUGAGCCCGGGAGUCUGGGGCUGCAGUGAGCUAUAAUUGCACCACUGUGCACUCCAGCCUGGGUGCUGGGUGACAGAGUGAGACCUUGUCUCUAAAAAUAAAGAAAGAUAGAGAAAGAGAAAAAAAAUGAGAGAAAGAGAUAAAAAGAAAGAAAUGUUUUAAAUGUCAAAAAAGAAGGAAAGAAAGAAAGAAGGAAAGAAAGAGAAAGAAAGAAAAUUUUUAAAUGUUAAAGACCUAAUUUAAUUAGAUGCCUUCAGUUUCACAGAUGGAGCAAAUGGGCUCAGAAAGACUAGUGACAUUUUCUCAAAAAUAGGGACACCCAUUUCUCUUCCUGGUUUUGCCAGCUUCCUUUCAAGCUCUUUCUAUUUCCCAAAGAAGAAGCUGGAAUCACCCAAUAUAGCCCUCUGACAUUGCUGACUAAUGGGUACUGUCUGAAGCAUUAUCGUAGCAGUAAUGAUAAUAACAUGUCCCUAAAGGGCACUUAUACCCUGUGCCUGGCACUGUACAAAGCACUUUACAUGCACUGACCCCAUCUUCAAUGUCACGUGAUACAGUAGCUUUACCAUCCCUGCUUUACAUAUGAUGAAACAAAACACAGAGAGGUUAGCUGACUUCCCCAGGGACACACAGCAAGGAAGCGGGAAACAGAACUCAUACCCACGCAGCCUGGCUCCAGAUCUCACACUCUGGAGCCCAUGCAAGCCAUAACUGAUCUAGAAUAAAACACAAACCGAGGGAGUCCAUUUUUAACUAGCCCUUCCUAGAUGCACCCUCAGAUACAGCUAGCCAAAGACCAGGUACCAACCUGCAUCUUCACUGGAUGGGUGGGUUAACCUCAGAAGUUAUCCGAGGUUAGUCAGUGGUUCAAGAUCUCUUGGUUCCAACCUCUUUGCUCUAGAAACACAUCUGGAGAGAUUUCUUGCACAUUUUCCACUACUUCCUGGUUUAUUCCAGAUAGAAAAACUUAUGAAUAUGGAAGGUAAUAAGCUUUGCCCCUUAUGUCUGCUAAAAUUUACCUGCCCAGAAACGGGGGUGGGAAUUAACAUCACAAAGCCCACCUGGCAUCUUUUAGAGAUGCAUUCAAGCUGCUUCUCAUUUCAUCCACAUCUUUCCACCCACGGCCGGUGAAGAACAUGAAGAACACGACGUGGUACAUUUUUAAACCGUCCGAUCCUGUAAUCAGCCAAUAAUAUGUGUUCACUUGAAGCCCGCCCAACACACUGGCCAGGCUUUCAUCAUCAUUCCCAAUCACCAAGCAGACUGCCCAGGCGGCCACUACCUCUCAGGAAGGCUUCUGGGACAAUCUCAAGGCGAUGUGUGAACUCGGGAAUCUUGUAAGCAUUUUGCUCACGCAACUUGGCUUUCUUUGGAACUUGAAGCUUGCUUCUGUUCAACUGAAAUCAAAAUUGCCUGUCAUGGAGAUGUGCUUGCAGGCUGUGACUGCGGCUCCACACUGGAACUUUUAGCUACAACCCCCACAAACACUGACUGAGAAUACUGAAUGGGGUGCUGGGGUGAACAGAGGAAAACUUUGGAUGCUGAGAAAAUGAUGCAAGCUCAGUGACCUCCCAUUCAACUGGAGGGGGUCUGUGGGGAUCAGAAGAAGCAAGGCUUCACUGGUUUCCAUUUUCCUGAGCUAACGGCCACAAGCUUAUUCCAAUGGACCCUUGUGAUUUGAGAUAGUUUGUGCUGGCUGCAUUUGGAGCUCCAGCUUCCGUGGGAGUUGGAGCGGAAAGAACACUGAAAUGUCCUCUUCUUGCUGGGAGCCGUGGACACCUCUUCUGGAGAAGGAUGAAGAAACUGAGGCACAGGGAUGUGAAGUAACUGGCCCAAGUGGGUGACAAAGCUGGGAUCGGAACCAGCAGGUAUUCACGAUUGUGAUGCAACCAGCCUCGGAGACACCCUGAGAAACGCCGCCUAAUGGAAUCCAUCCCUCGGGACAGAAGCCGCCGGUCUUCCCUGACCGCACCCACUCGCCCCACAGAGCACCCCCUCCUUGUCAAAGCCGGCGACUCUGCAGGCUUCUGGUGCAGACAAUGUGGCCACCAGAUGCACGGCACCCAGCUUGCGGGGAUGCCGGGCAAAUGUUAUUACAGCGAUAACAGUGAUUCUGCUUAGGAUAACAAUGAUGGAAAUCUGUAUUAAAUGACUUGAAACUGCUGAUGCCUUUCCUUUUCCCCAAAGAGAAGAAAGGGAUGCGAAUGUGUCACUUGAACUGGCUGCUGCGGUUCAUCUGGACUCCAUCGUUCCUGCCAUCAUCUUUAUUAGUAGCAUUGUUUUAAAAAAAUGAGUAAGUUUGAAACCACCAGGUGUUUUGAAUUUUUAUCUUGUUCACUUGCUUACAUGAGGAAAUUCAAAUGGAGACCAAUGCAUUAGUAAAAGCCCAGUGGAAGGAGAGUGCCCCUUCUCUCCCGGGUGGGGGGCUCCCUGCCCUCCCUGACAGGCUCCCCCUAGUUCUGGGUUCUGGCUGCAGUUCCAGCCCCGACCACCAGGAGUUGAUCUCGGGAGCGUUAUCUGCGCAGCUCCUUCCCAGUCCUCCUCUGAGUCCUCCGUGACUUCAAGCAGCCACACGCCUCCUUCUCCCUCCCUGUUAAUCCCCACCGAAAGCAGGCUUGGUGUGGCCGCUCCCCAGACUCACAGGCCCUUCCUGGUUAUUUCUGCAGAAUCCACUCUCCCUGUCAGUCUGGGAAAGAAAGCAGAGAGAGAAAAAGAGCUGUAGCGUCAAGGGGACUGCCAGAUCCCGCAGCAAUCCUCCGUGCUCCAGGGUCUCCUUCGGGCGCCUUGCAAUCUCAGCGCCAGCUACUGAACACCUAGAGUAUUGUUCAGUGGAGGAUGCCAAGGGAGGCCUCGAGCCUGAAUUAGCCCCGUGAAAGGGGUCUUGCUCCCCCGCUCAUACGCUGAGGUCCAGGGAGCAUAGGCAGCUUCCCCAGGGCGACCAUAAGGGCCCGCACGCAAUGUGGUGACCCCCUUUCCCUCUGUCGUUUGGCCACCUCAGCUAUUACAACAGGAAGCCAUUGGCCGGGCGCGGUGGCUCACGCCUGUAAUCCCAGCGCUUUGGGAGGCCUAGGCGGGCAGAUCACGAGGUCAGGAGAUCAAGACCACCCUGGCUAACACGGUGAAACCCCGUCUCUACUGAAAAAAAAAAAAAAAAAAAA